AUUGAACGCUGGCGGCAGGCCUAACACAUGCAAGUCGAACGAGUGGCGGACGGGUGAGUAAUGUCUGGGAAACUGCCUGAUGUAGGGGGAUAACUACUGGAAACGGUAGCUACUACCGCAUACCAUCAGAUGUGCCCAGAGGGGAUUAGCUAGUUGGUGGGGUAACGGCUCACCAAGGCGACGAUCCCUAGCUGGUCUGAGAGGGUGACCAGCCACACUGGAACUGAGACACGGUCCAGACUCCUACGGGAGGCAGCAGUGGGGAAUAUUGGGCAAUGGGCGCAAGCCUGAUGCAGCCAUGCCGCGUGUAUGAAGAAGGCCUUCGGGUUGUAAAGCACUUUCAGUGGUGAGGCGUUACCCACAGAAGAAGCAACGGCUAACUCCGUGCCAGCAGCCGCGGUAAUUC
rnacentral:rRNA from 1 species